rnacentral:lncRNA from 13 species
GCGAAUUGUCAACAUCAAAUGAUGAAAACAUAUUUGUGUCGACAACCGUUGACAAAGAAAAAAGAUUGAUUAGAAAACGAAAGUUUUAUGGCGACACAUCAACGGAUGAAGAUGAGCAAGGAAGGAAAAGAGAAAAGAAUAAGGGAAAUAUAAACGCGCCUUCUAAUUACGUUCCGCAAAAAAA